GAUGAACGCUGGCGGCGUGCCUAAUACAUGCAAGUCGAGCGAACAGACGAGGAGCUUGCUCCUCUGACGUUAGCGGCGGACGGGUGAGUAACACGUGGAUAACCUACCUAUAAGACUGGGAUAACUUCGGGAAACCGGAGCUAAUACCGGAUAAUAUAUUGAACCGCAUGGUUCAAUAGUGAAAGACGGUUUUGCUGUCACUUAUAGAUGGAUCCGCGCCGCAUUAGCUAGUUGGUAAGGUAACGGCUUACCAAGGCAACGAUGCGUAGCCGACCUGAGAGGGUGAUAGGCCACACUGGAACGGAGACACGGUCCAGACUCCUACGGGAGGCAGCAGUAGGGAAUCUUCCGCAAUGGGCGAAAGCUUGACGGAGCAACGCCGCGUGAGUGAUGAAGGUCUUCGGAUCGUAAAACUCUGUUAUUAGGGAAGAACAAAUGUGUAAGUAACUAUGCACGUCUUGACGGUACCUAAUCAGAAAGCCACGGCUAACUACGUG
rnacentral:rRNA from 1 species